rnacentral:rRNA from 1 species
ACCGACGGUACCUGAAGGAUAAGCACCGGCUAACUUCGUGCCAGCAGCCGCGGUAAUACGAAGGGUGCAAGCGUUAUUCGGAAUUACUGGGCGUAAAGCGUGCGUAGGCGGUGAGUUAAGUCUGUCGUGAAAUCCCCGGGCUCAACCUGGGAAUGGCGAUGGAUACUGGCUCGCUAGAGUGUGAUAGAGGAUGGUGGAAUUCCCGGUGUAGCGGUGAAAUGCGUAGAGAUCGGGAGGAACAUCAGUGGCGAAGGCGGCCAUCUGGAUCAACACUGACGCUGAGGCACGAAAGCGAGGGGAGCAAACAGGAUUAGAUACCCUGGUAGUCCACGCCCUAAACGAUGCGAACUGGAUGUUGGUCUCAACUCGGAGAUCAGUGUCGAAGCUAACGCGUUAAGUUCGCCGCCUGGGGAGUACGGUCGCAAGACUGAAACUCAAAGGAAUUGACGGGGGCCCGCACAAGCGGUGGAGUAUGUGGUUUAAUUCGAUGCAACGCGAAGAACCUUACCUGGCCUUGACAUGCCUGGAAUCCUGCAGAGAUGCGGGAGUGCCUUCGGGAAUCAGAACACAGGUGCUGCAUGGCUGUCGUCAGCUCGUGUCGUGAGAUGUUGGGUUAAGUCCCGCAACGAGCGCAACCCUUGUCCUUAGUUGCCAGCACGUAAUGGUGGGAACUCUAAGGAGACUGCCGGUGACAAACCGGAGGAAGGUAGGGAUGACGUCAAGUCAUCAUGGCCCUUACGGCCAGGGCUACACACGUACUACAAUGGUCGGUACAGAGGGUUGCAAUACCGCGAGGUGGAGCCAAUCCCAGAAAGCCGAUCCCAGUCCGGAUCGAAGUCUGCAACUCGACUUCGUGAAGUCGGAAUCGCUAGUAAUCGCGGAUCAGCUAUGCCGCGGUGAAUACGUUCCCGGGCCUUGUACACACCGCCCGUCACACCAUGGGAGUGAGUUGCUCCAGAAGCCGUUAGUCUAACCGCAAGGGGGACGACGACCACGGAGUGGUUCAUGACUGGGGUGAAGUCGUAACAAGGUA